GAGUUUGGCUUCAGAUGAUGUCAUGUUUAGCUUCAGAUGAUGUCAUGCCUGCUGGGUAAUGCUCCUUCCCAGUCUGUGAACCUGAGGCUGAGCAGAAAAUACAGAGCAAUAUCAAGAUGUUCCUCCAGGCAGGAAGUCCAGUAGUUCUUAGCAUACAUGAUGACUGUCAUCUACACCAGAGCUUUCUAAACUUUUCAUGUUGAAUUCAUGGCUUAUAAAUCAUAGCUGAAGCACAGGCA